rnacentral:tRNA from 1 species
UGUUCUGUGGCUUAGUUGGUUAAAUCAUCCGUCUAUCAAAUACAGAGUCGUGGGUUUGAAUCCCAUCAGAACGC